UCUCCGCUUGCGCGGGCAGUUCCAUUAGAGUUCCCGGCCUGACCCGUUGGCAACUAGGGGCGAGGGUUGCGCUCGUUGCGGGACUUAACCCAACAUCUCACGACACGAGCUGACGACAGCCAUGCAGCACCUGUGUCGGCUCCCCUUGCGGGGUCGGGCCCCUUUCGGUUUCCUACCACCGACAUGUCAAACCCAGGUAAGGUUUUUCGCGUUGCGUCGAAUUGAACCACAUGCUCCACCGCUUGUGCGGGUCCCCGUCAAUUCCUUUGAGUUUUAGCCUUGCGGCCGUACUCCCCAGGCGGGGCACUUAAUGCGUUAGCUUCGGCACGGAGGGAGUCGACACCCCCCACACCUAGUGCCCAUCGUUUACAGCGUGGACUAC
rnacentral:misc_RNA from 1 species